GGUGAGAUGUCCGAGUGGUUUAAGGAGCACGUCUGGAAAAUGUGUAUACGACGAUAACGUAUCGAGGGUUCAAAUCCCUCUCUCACCGUCA
rnacentral:tRNA from 1 species